rnacentral:rRNA from 1 species
GUAGGUGGCAAGCGUUGUCCGGAAUUAUUGGGCGUAAAGCGCGCGCAGGCGGUUCUUUAAGUCUGAUGUGAAGCCCACGGCUCAACCGUGGAGGGUCAUUGGAAACUGUAGAACUUGAGUACAGAAGAGGAAAGCGGAAUUCCACGUGUAGCGGUGAAAUGCGUAGAGAUGUGGAGGAACACCAGUGGCGAAGGCGGCUUUCUGGUCUGUAACUGACGCUGAGGCGCGAAAGCGUGGGGGAGCAAACAGGAUUAGAUACCCUGGUAGUCCACGCCGUAAACGAUGAGUGCUAAGUGUUAGGGGGUUUCCGCCCCUUAGUGCUGCAGCUAACGCAUUAAGCACUCCGCCUGGGAGUACGGCCGCAAGGCUG